rnacentral:lncRNA from 1 species
CGGAUAUGGUAUUAUAUUUUGUUCUUGUUUAGCCAUAUCUUGAACGGCUGACAUCCAAUAACAAUCUCUCUAUUUCGCUCUUUAAUCUUGUCAUCAUUUUAUUUUCAUAUUUCAUUCAAAUACUUUGGAUAUAUUCGUUUGCUGAAUUCAAUUAUUUAUUCUAAAAACAGCUUUGGGUAAAACACUUUCCAGGUUAUGCUUCCCCUUCCUGCACUUAAUAGCUAAAGGUAAACCUAAAUUAAUUCCGCUGUAGUUUAUAUGUGUAUGUUGGUUAAAUGGAUAUGGAUUCUAAAGUCUAACAGUUCACCCACUAUUUUAUUUGUGCCGAUUGAAUCCAAAUUUAACUUAAAUAUGGUAAUUCAAAAAGGAAAGGGAGGUAUUAAUUGGAAACUUCCAUUGCCGAAGUCGAGAACGAGAUUAAAAUCCAAAAUUUGAAAACUAAUCUACUCAAUAAAGAAGUAUUACUCAUGAUUCAAACAGCAAAUAUAUGUUGACCUUUUUUCCCCUCUAUGACGGGACAGUAGGCUAAAGGCAAGAAAAAGGACAAAAAUUUAUGCUUUGUAAACACACCGAUUCAGUUUGCAAGUUGAUAAAGGAUUUAGCAUCUGGUUCAAUGGUUUUGGUUGCCUGAUAGUAGAUAUACAACUAGCGACUCUAAGAGAUUUUUUUCGGUUCGAGGGAUGAUAUAUUAGCAACUAAAGGAAAAUAGGUACAUCAUCUUCAAAGGGUACGAAGUACCCCUAAUUUCACAAUAUUGAUAUUACAUUCCAAAAUGUUUCUUGGAAACACAAUUCCUAGGAUAUUUAUCCAAAAAGCUUCAUUUGCAAAUACCGGAGGAACUGCCAGUAUUGUUGUUCUUCCAAAAAGAUCUUUCUUUGCUCCUUCCUUCGCCAGCAGAUCAGCUACCAUGUUCUUCUCCCUGUAGUUGUGUUUCACCAUUGUGCCUCUCAAUCUUUGGAUUAUUGACCUGCAUUUAGAGAUAAUAGAGUCAUAAACAUAGUUUCCUAUUUUAAGCAUUCUUAUUACCUUUGUUGAGUUUGAGUUGAUUUCUAGAGUUGUUAGACACCUUUGUUAUGCAAUUUGCAGUCCUUGUAAUAGUACAAGAAGCUCAGCUUGGGUAUUUGUUGUGUGUGGCAGGCUUCUGAUCGGUGCCAACCCUACACCACUACAAAGUGGCGAGAGCGGUCGAAGCAACUUUUACCCGAGAUGGUCGGGAUCGAAUCCACAGGGAGCUAGAAUUGGGAAUUGGAUUCCUAUCUAAAUUAGUAGUGUGUAGUGCUCUUAAUUACACUUCUAAUCAUCUUUUGGUUGUUUGUUACUUCUAAUAUUUAUGUUAAUGAUAUGCUAAAUUAAACUAAGAAUGAUUGCUUGUAAGGUUUUCUAAAUGAUUAAAGAGGCACUAGGGAAGUAACUUUCUCCUAGGUGAAUACUUGACGGGAUCUAAAGCCUAAAGCAAAGAAGUUAUGUUGGGGAUUUCGAUAUAGCCAAUGCACGAAAUUACUCACUCUAUACCUCUCGGUAGCUUGAGUGACUUUGCC